rnacentral:rRNA from 1 species
UACAGAGGUCUCAAGCGUUGUUCGGAAUCACUGGGCGUAAAGGGUGCGUAGGUGGCGUGGAAAGUCAGAUGUGAAAUCCGGGGGCUCAACCCCCGAAUAGCAUCCGAUACUACCGCGCUAGAGAACUGAAGGGGGGUCUGGAAUUCUCGGUGUAGCAGUGAAAUGCGUAGAUAUCGAGAGGAACACUAGUGGCGAAGGCGAGACCCUGGGCAGUAUCUGACACUGAGGCACGAAGGCUAGGGUAGCGAACGGG